CGAACGAUGAACCACUUCGGUGGGGAUUAGUGGCGAACGGGUGAGUAACACGUGGGCAAUCUGCCCUGCACUCUGGGACAAGCCCUGGAAACGGGGUCUAAUACCGGAUAUGACCAUCUUGGGCAUCCUUGAUGGUGUAAAGCUCCGGCGGUGCAGGAUGAGCCCGCGGCCUAUCAGCUUGUUGGUGAGGUAACGGCUCACCAAGGCGACGACGGGUAGCCGGCCUGAGAGGGCGACCGGCCACACUGGGACUGAGACACGGCCCAGACUCCUACGGGAGGCAGCAGUGGGGAAUAUUGCACAAUGGGCGAAAGCCUGAUGCAGCGACGCCGCGUGAGGGAUGACGGCCUUCGGGUUGUAAACCUCUUUCAGCAGGGAAGAAGCGAAAGUGACGGUACCUGCAGAAGAAGCGCCGGCUAACUACGUGCCAGCAGCCGCGGUAAUACGUAGGGCGCGAGCGUUGUCCGGAAUUAUUGGGCGUAAAGAGCUCGUAGGCGGCUUGUCACGUCGGUUGUGAAAGCCCGGGGCUUAACCCCGGGUCUGCAGUCGAUACGGGCAGGCUAGAGUUCGGUAGGGGAGAUCGGAAUUCCUGGUGUAGCGGUGAAAUGCGCAGAUAUCAGGAGGAACACCGGUGGCGAAGGCGGAUCUCUGGGCCGAUACUGACGCUGAGGAGCGAAAGCGUGGGGAGCGAACAGGAUUAGAUACCCUGGUAGUCCACGCCGUAAACGGUGGGCACUAGGUGUGGGCAACAUUCCACGUUGUCCGUGCCGCAGCUAACGCAUUAAGUGCCCCGCCUGGGGAGUAC
rnacentral:rRNA from 1 species